rnacentral:rRNA from 1 species
UCUGCUGACGAGCGGCGGACGGGUGAGUAAUACUUAGGAAUCUACCUAGUAGUGGGGGAUAGCUCGGGGAAACUCGAAUUAAUACCGCAUACGACCUACGGGAGAAAGGGGGCAACUUGUUGCUCUCGCUAUUAGAUGAGCCUAAGUCGGAUUAGCUAGAUGGUGGGGUAAAGGCCUACCAUGGCGACGAUCUGUAGCUGGUCUGAGAGGAUGAUCAGCCACACCGGGACUGAGACACGGCCCGGACUCCUACGGGAGGCAGCAGUGGGGAAUAUUGGACAAUGGGGGAAACCCUGAUCCAGCCAUGCCGCGUGUGUGAAGAAGGCCUUUUGGUUGUAAAGCACUUUAAGCAGUGAAGAAGACUCCAUGGUUAAUACCCAUGGACGAUGACAUUAGCUGCAGAAUAAGCACCGGCUAACUCUGUGCCAGCAGCCGCGGUAAUACAGAGGGUGCAAGCGUUAAUCGGAAUUACUGGGCGUAAAGGGAGCGUAGGUGGCUCGAUAAGUCAGAUGUGAAAUCCCCGGGCUCAACCUGGGAACUGCAUCUGAUACUGUUGAGCUAGAGUAUGUGAGAGGAAGGUAGAAUUCCAGGUGUAGCGGUGAAAUGCGUAGAGAUCUGGAGGAAUACCGAUGGCGAAGGCAGCCUUCUGGCAUAAUACUGACACUGAGGCUCGAAAGCGUGGGUAGCAAACAGGAUUAGAUACCCUGGUAGUCCACGCCGUAAACGAUGUCUACUAGUCGUUGGGUCCCUUGAGGACUUAGUGACGCAGCUAACGCAAUAAGUAGACCGCCUGGGGAGUACGGCCGCAAGGUUAAAACUCAAAUGAAUUGACGGGGGCCCGCACAAGCGGUGGAGCAUGUGGUUUAAUUCGAUGCAACGCGAAGAACCUUACCUGGUCUUGACAUAUCUAGAAUCCUGCAGAGAUGCGGGAGUGCCUUCGGGAAUUAGAAUACAGGUGCUGCAUGGCUGUCGUCAGCUCGUGUCGUGAGAUGUUGGGUUAAGUCCCGCAACGAGCGCAACCCUUGUCCUUAGUUACCAGCGGGUUAAGCCGGGAACUCUAAGGAUACUGCCAGUGACAAACUGGAGGAAGGCGGGGACGACGUCAAGUCAUCAUGGCCCUUACGACCAGGGCUACACACGUGCUACAAUGGUAGGUACAGAGGGCAGCUACACAGCGAUGUGAUGCGAAUCUCAAAAAGCCUAUCGUAGUCCGGAUUGGAGUCUGCAAC